AUUGAACGCUGGCGGCAGGCCUAACACAUGCAAGUCGGACGGUAGCACAGAGAGCUUGCUCUCGGGUGACGAGUGGCGGACGGGUGAGUAAUGUCUGGGGAUCUGCCCGAUAGAGGGGGAUAACCACUGGAAACGGUGGCUAAUACCGCAAACGUCGCAAGACCAAAGAGGGGGACCUUCGGGCCUCUCACUAUCGGAUGAACCCAGAUGGGAUUAGCUAGUAGGCGGGGUAACGGCCCACCUAGGUGACGAUCCCUAGCUGGUCUGAGAGGAUGACCAGCCACACUGGAACUGAGACACGGUCCAGACUCCUACGGGAGGCAGCAGUGGGGAAUAUUGCACAAUGGGCGCAAGCCUGAUGCAGCCAUGCCGCGUGUAUGAAGAAGGCCUUCGGGUUGUAAAGUACUUUCAGCGGGGAGGAAGGCGAUAAGGUUAAUAACCUUGUCGAUUGACGUUACCCGCAGAAGAAGCACCGGCUAACUCCGUGCCAGCAGCCGCAGUAA
rnacentral:rRNA from 1 species